ensembl:lncRNA
AAAGCCUGUUCCAAUGCAUUACCACUCUUCCUGAGAAGAUGAGAUAUGGUGGGAGUACCUGGUGACUUUCCUGGGCUUUGGGGCAUGGCAAAUCACAGAAUCACAGUAUUGUAGAGGUUGGAUGGGACCUCUGGAGAUGAUCUAUGCCAACCUCCUACUAAAGCUGGUUCCCUGCAGCAGGUUGCCAUGUUAGGGCUUAGUGCUGGAGGUGAGCACAAGGGCAGCACCAGCUCCAUCAUUACUGUGCUGCAGGUCAACCGAUCCAUAACUCAGGCAAAGCAUUUCUUACAGCAGAGAAGUACAAGCCGAAGAAUUCGACUGGCCAGAUUGGAAUUGUCUUUUUGUCCUUUUGGAAAAAGAACAGCAUAGCAAUUCUUUCACUUUGCCCUCUCCCGUGCUUUACCGGUAGCUGCACUGAAGCUGAUUGAUUAGUUUAAUAACAAGCAGUUGAUAUGCAGCCAUAAAAUUAUGCACUUUUACUCAUCAGCCUGAUUGAAUUCCUCUGCUGACUGUACUGGAACAGCAUGGCAGAGCUAUAAUAAUGAGGGAAGGAGCCAAGGGAAAAGGCAGUGCACUGCUGUUAUUGUUGUUGUUGUAGAGCUGGGGAAGAAAGUGACUCCAGGGAGGAGCUUUUCCAAAAUAAAUACCAAAAUACAGAGGGAAAAUGUUAAGAUGUAAUUAGCCUUGGUAUAAAUGACACUAAACGCCUACUGGGAUUGGAGCUGCUCUGACACCCACCUGGCCUAUGUUGGGGCUGCAGGAGGCUGGAGCCCAGUGGUGCUGGCCCCAGUGAACCCCCAGGUCCUCAAAUAGGGUGAGAGGGGCUGGGCCCUUUGCAAGGCAACCCAGUCUGAUGGGAAGAAAUGGGAGUUCAUGGCCCAUUCUGGCCACGAAGGGAAGGAUGACAUGAUGGAGCUGGGUAAAACAUGCAUGCGAAGCGUUUGCCCCCACCAAGCCCAUGAGAAUGGCAUAUAUGGGGAGAAGACAGCGUGAAUUGAAGGAUCAGCAGGGGCAAGCUUGAGCUGAUGGAAAGCCACGCAGCCCCAUCCAUGCACGGAGACUGGCAUUUAAAACUUCCCAAUAGAAUAUUUCCCAGUGCUGCUCAGCACUCCGGCAUGGCUCGCUCAGCCGAUGGGCUCACUGUCCUGCACACAUUUAUUCAUAAAACUAAUUGGUCUGUGAAUAGGUUGUCUGCUUCUUGUGCCUCUGCUGGUGUCAUUGCUGAGAAACCUUUUAAUUGAACCACUCACAGGCUGCAUUCCCAGCAUGAGCACUGUGCACAGGGAGGCUGGCUGCCUUGGGGCCAUAUCCAGCCUCCAUCGGAGGACCCAAUCCAUAAUUAUCAGGUUCUUCCCUUUGGAACAGAUGUCCCUGAAGGACAGAGUGGGAUAAAGGGAGGGAACAAGUGCUGUUUGGCAAUUAUUAUCUCCCAGAAGAACGUUAGGCAAAUGCUUGCACAGCUUUUCUUGCCUUUCUCCCUGAUUGCACCACAUCCAUGCUGUUCCUGGAAGUGAUGCUUCUCCUUAUUUUCUCCAGUGGGCUUUGGGUCAGGCCAAACAUUUCUUGUAUGAUGCUGCUGGAGGUUACACACAGCUGAUACACCCAAUGGUGCUGCUUCUCCAGCUACCCUCUAGUUAUUAUGGGUGCCCUUGUCUGCGGUCCUUGGGUGGGCUUUCACCCUGGGUCCCCCUAUGCCUAUGGAGCACGUCCAGGGUACUGUCCAUCGAUAUUCCAUAUCAUAACAUCACACCAUAAGGAAACCAGGAAUUACAACCCCAGCAGCCCCAGUACUGAGAACGUAUGACAUGAUGCUAUGAUAUGGAAUGCUGACAAAAACCAUGAUGCUACAUACAGUAUGAGGGUGAAUCAGAUAUUGGGAAGAGGAUCCCCACACAAGCCAAGUCAAGUCAGGUCCUGGGUCACACACAGUUUGCAGCUGGAAGUCCUGCGUACUGUUUUCAGUCUUUAUUGCUGCGUGCCUCCCUAGCAGCCUGCAGCCCUCAUUAGACUUAGUGAAGGAAAACAUGGAGUGUGGAGAUGAAUUCAGAGCGCUGCUGGUGCUAGGGCAAUGCCUUGCUCCACUGCUAAGCACAGCCUAUAGCAGAAGUGAUAGUGCAUUCUUCUGCUCCAUCUAAAGCCAAAGGAGACCCCCACAAACUGCCAACAACUUUUCUUCCUGCAAGUGACAAUGGUGUUAAAAGCUGUCAGGGCUUCCUUAUGCAAUAAAGCUGAAAAACCAAAUUUCACUGCACCUUCAGGCUCCCCUUCCCCCUUUUUUUACCCCAGCCUCUUUUCAACCAAAGCAGAAGUCGAGGAGAAGUUAGCCCAGGGCAGAAGGAGGAAGGUGAGCAGUUGGGGUCAGGAGUCCAGGGAGAAGAUCCAUGGUGGGUAUCUUUAUCCAGGCUUGCAGUGCAGCAGAUCUCAGUCCUCCUUACAGCACUGGGUUACAGACAGAGCAGCACAUCUGGAUUCAUUCUGGGGAUGUCUCACAUUGUCUCCAUGGGUUCUCCUUCCGUUUCUUCAUAGGGAAGGGGAAGGGGAAGGGAAGGGAAGGGAAGGGAAGGGAAGGGAAGGGAAGGGAAGGGAAGGGAAGGGAAGGGAAGGGAAGGGAAGGGAAGGGAAGGGAAGGGAAGGGAAGGGAAGGGAAGGGAAGGGAAGGGAAGGGAAGGGAAGGGAAGGGAAGGGAAGGGAAGGGAAGGGAAGGGAAGGGAAGGGAAGGGGAACGAGAAGGGGGGAGAAGGGGAACGAGAAGGGGAAGGGAAGAGAACAGGAUUUAGGAAAAAGAUUUACUCAUACUUUUUAAAAGACUUUUUAUGGGAGGAAAGCGCAGUGAAGCAAAGCACAGGUUUCAGGCGUGCUUGCCUGUGUUUUCUCUCUGCAGAGGCAGCUCUCUGGCUGUGCACUGCAGGACAGUCACUGCCUGUGUUUGCUUCCAGCUCUGUGACCUCCUGCUCUCUCCAAAUGUCACUGCAGUGCUGAGCCCAGCUCCCCCCCGCAGCCCCUUCCGGGCAGGGACACGCUGAGCACCCACAGACUGGAAAGCCUCCAGCUUUCCCAGCUGCACUGGAUCAGAGUUGGGUCUUUCCUGGGCUUUGUUUUGCCGCUGCCCUUUAGCUAUCACUGCUAAACCCACGAUAAGACAAAUAUUUGCCCAGCACUGUGAGCUAUCGAUAGGUAAAUUGCCCUGCACGUCUCACACAGCAUGGGCAGGGGUGCGUGGGCUGGAGCCAGGAAAAUCCCCAUCUCCUCUGACCAAUUGCAGUUUAUGAAAGAUACCGAUUACCCCCCCAGGGAGCUCAUCUUCUGAUUCAGUGCUCAACUUGGCACGCGGGCAGCCUUGCUUUGUAAGUAUAAGGAUUUAUCUACCCUAACUGCAAACCCAGAGCAGCUGAUGGAAGCUGGGGCCUGCUUGUCCCCUCCUCCAGCAGAACGGACCGGAUAGGUCAGCUCAAGGUGCCUCCGUGGACUGCCAAGGUGGCACACAGGGUUUGGUGUGGGGGAAGACACGCUGCUGUCCUUCAAGUGCAUCCUAAUCAUCUGUCAGCUAAAAGCUCUCCCCAUGACCAGAUGGGACCGUCCUUUCUUGGAACACCACCAGCUAGUCAACACCUGUCUGAAGGCAACCAUUAAUUUUUCAUCCAGCACUGAAUUCAUCCAUCCCCACCACACCGAUCUCCUAAAUGGAGCAAUUUCAUUUUCAAUGCAUGAUAUUUCGUGCUCGGAAAUUACCAGCUGUGUAUUCAGGAGCACUAAUGCUAUUCUGCUACUACAGUGCAGGUUUCUCAGAUUGAAAGCUCUGUCAGCCAAAGUGUUUUAAUUUCUGCAUAUUAAAGACCGGAGCUCUUUUCCACUUGAAUUCAAUGGCUCAUAGUGGAUCCCCACCACUACCCACUCUUGGGUAAUGUUAGCUCAGAGAUGCGAAGGCAUGAAAGAUUCUCUGGCUCUGAGCUAGCAAUAAAUCUUAAAUGGAAUGUAGGUUUCUUUUUAUUAAUAGGUGUCCUUUGCUCCCUUUUCUCCUUUCUUUCUUCCUCAACACACAGCCCUACGCUGUUGCUCUCCACUUGUGCAAAUUCCUCAUUUGUCACUCCCAGCUCCCCGCAGCACUAUACAAGCUACUGAAAAAGCUCUCCUCCUCCUUUGUCACAUCAGUUCAAUCUGCUCCUGUCACACAAAAUCUGCUUUUGUUUUGCACUCGCUUUGCUUUACUCCUGCCCGUUUUGUUACCAGUUUGUUACCUUUCUGCUUGAAUUUCACAAUUUGCAGCCAAAGAGGAACCCAAAAGCCUUCCUACCCAGGAGCUUUUGUUAUCUGCCCACCUUUGUCUUCCUCCACAAAACCUGAGCAUGUCACAGGGGCGACAGAUCAACCCACUAUUUUUUUCCUCCGUCCCUCAGAAUAAUUUCCCAUCCACAUCUCCUGCCAAUUUAUUGCCUCCUCAAACUCACGGGGUCUCCGAAGCCUUUGCUGACCUGCGUAACUCCAUGUGAUGCUCCAUCUGUUGUUGACUUCUAUGUGUUUACUCGAUAAAGAGAAAUCUGAAAAAAAAAGAGGCUUGGAGGUCUGGCCAACAUCACUGUCAUUCCUCAAAAACAAGGCCUGCUGUGGAUAGAGCUCUGACACUGAUCUGCUCCAGCCUGCUCUGGUUCAACCCUGGGGAUGCUGGUUUUAGGUAUGGGGCACAUGGGUCGCUAUGGUAGAAGCUGCUCCUCAUGACAGCCCAUAACUCUCUGGUCUCAGUUUGGACCAGUCCCUGUGAACCUGUUUUAAUGGGGAUCAGACCUCAGUAUUUUGUCUUAACCAACGUUCUGCAUUCAGAUGUAGACUGGACCGAAGGUGUGUCCUGGUUUGUACAUACAUAAUUCCCUCUCUGUUCUGUCUCCAUAUAGGCAUACAAGAUGCCAACACUGGAACUGGACCUCCGGGUCAAGUAUAUUUAUACAUGUGUGUAUAUGCACAUGGCUGGUGAGGUGUAUUAAAAACAGUUUAUUUCAGAAAUAGCAUCAUUUUUCCUGGCGGAGGAGAACAGCUUUUCUUAUUUUCUGUGCCACUCAUAUUUUUGGUCUUAGCGAGGCAAAAUGCCAGGGAAUGACAACAUGUUUACCUAAGAGCAGCUAAAAGAGCUGCGUAGCAAUCAAGGUAUCGAGUGGGUUGGGCUGAAAAUAGAUCAGCUUGGAAGGAUUUUGGUCAGAAAUGUUCAGCAAGGGACUAGAUGGCUGUGAGCACUGGUAACAGCCUACAGAGACUUUCAUUUUGGAGGAAUAUAUCUCCACCUUGCUCCAACUAAUUGCUGCAAUGCUUUUGGACAGCAUCUGUGGUCUGCCUUGCUGACUCACUGCACCAUUUCCCCAUCUGCGAGGAGUGAAUUGUGCUCUUCUAUUCUUUGAGGUUUAGCUUUCUAGGUGAGGAGACACGUGGAGCAUCCCCUGCACCAAUGCUGAGCAAGGCUCAUGCUCCUUCCUCCAACCCUGAACCUUACUGUGAAACGAGAAUCGUUGUUGGGAACAAGAUAUCUGGGGAAUGGGAAACAUCUCUUUCUGCAAAAAUCUGUUUUGAAAUGUGUUUGCGACCCCACUGAGACAACACUGUGUCCUUUACCUCAGUCCUUCUGGAGUAAUUGUUUUUGUUUAAUCCUCGUAGCUCUCAUUAAGAAGUCCCCCAACUCUUCUCAAGACCAGGUUGUGUGGGGCACUGGGCAACCUGAUGCAGUGAGUGGCAACUGUGCCCAUGGCACUGGGGUUGGAGCUGGGUGGGCUGUAAGGUCCCUUCUAACCCAAGCCAUUCAAUGAUUCAAUAAUUCAAAUAUUCUAUGAUUCUAUGACGAAGUUUUGUCUCUGCCUUCCUUGAUGAGCAGACAGGCUCUGCCCUGUGCCAAGCCUAACUGACCCACGUGAUUACCAAACUAUUUGCCCGUGGCUUCACAUAUCUCACUUUAUACACUACCUUGUGCCAGCUUUCAGCUCUGGGCAUGUCUGUUCCACUAUUGUGGCCCAGGGUCUGGCAUGUCUCUUGGCACCCUGACAGCCACGACAGAUUACAGCAGAAGUGUUCAGCAGGUCCAGGAAAGCUUUCAGCCUGCAAAAAGAAAACACGAACACGGCGCUGUCUUCUAAGGUGUGGGUAUGAGACAGGUCUGGUCCCGGACCCUGGGCUCAGGUCCAGGCAAUGUGAACAACAUCGCCAUGUCUUUGCAGUGCUGAUCUCUUCUGUCAUAAAAUCCAAGUCCUCUGAUGGUCAGGGUAUUCUAGCACAACUCAAACGCAACGACAUCGGCCAUGCAAUUCUUCUUAAAGAUCUUGCAAACACUAUAGGAGGAUCAGCACCUCGCCAGAUGACUUCUGCCCAUCAGAGAGACCGGCCAAUGGCCACACGUUGACAUCUCUAAGUGAGCCCCGAGGGGCUGGUUCCUCAGCCUUGGGCAGCCACGGGCUGCAGUUCUGUGGAAAACAAAUAGCAAAUAUAUGAAUAUGACCUUCCAUCAUCAAUCUGAUGGUCCUUCCUGGAUGCUGGGGGGGAAGCAUGAUGGGAUUUUCCUGCCCAGAAGCAACAAUAGACAGGGAUGUGUUCUUUUUCUCGAAUCCUUUAGUUGGAAGGGAAUGUGAAAGGCAAUGUCAAGUUUGGCAUAGAGACUACACUUAGGUUUUUAGCAUAUAACCAAACAUUACAGAUCUACAUGUUGUGAUGAGUGGACUAGGUGAUCUCAGUGGGUUUUUCCAACCUUAAUGACUCUAUGAUAACAUCUUUUCUCCUUCUGUGCUUGGCUAUCAGAAAUGGAGGAGUAGGUUGGAGGAUUACAUCCUUACCCGUGGCACAGCUAUGUGCAGUCUGGGAAAGACCUCGAGUCCCACCUGCAGAUUUGCAUUAGUGUGGAUGGAUUUCAGCUGUAGGAUGAUUUUUAGGCCACCCUAGAUGUCAUCAGGCAUUCAGAUUGGAGAAUCACUGCUUAAGAGAUGACAAUUUUGGAAACUUUUUUGGAAGCUUAUAAGACAUGGUGUAACUCCUGCAGGAACUUGGUUAGUUGCAUGGAACAGCUCAUGCACCUCCAGUUAUUAAAUCAGUAAUUUAACCUUAACUCUAAGCCCAUAGGUGCAACCACAGAACACUUCUUAGUAGAGGUUAUUCAUUACAUAGACAUUCUCAGUUUUGGCCUUGAAAUGGACAAAAGUCAUGAAAUUGGAGAUAUAGUAGUGCUGUUUCAGUGAUAAAAGGUAUCUGCCAAGAUCAGAGUCCCUGUGUGUUCAUAGCACCCAAAUUUUAGCUCCAGAUGGACUGUUUGGACAGGCUGCUCAACAUUUUGGGCAAAGGUAUUGCACGCAGCACAUUGACUAUGAUAAGCAGACACAGCUGCAGUCCAGCCCACUGGCUGCAGAGAUGCUGUAAGGAUGCUUCAUUUUAGCUUGCAGUGGGGACACAAAAGCACUCACUUGCUUGGGGCCCAGGAGCUUGAUCCUGCUCACCAGCAAGGUCCCCAGGUGCCCAAUAAUCUCUGCAUAAGUAAGGGCAGAUGUCAGCCCAUCAGCCAGUUCCAUACUUGUUUGCAUUUCAAUGUGCAUUUAAAAAAAAUACCAUGACUGGAUAACACUCUCCCAGAGACCACUUUAUGUCAUAUCAACUCAGUCUAAUGCCACAUUCAGAACUUCUUAGCAAACCUGGGAGAAUUAUUUGCAGGGCUACUGAAAUUCAAAGAAAAGCUUCAGUCAAGGACUCCUUGGGUUUUCCAGGCAGAGCUUGUGUAGUUAUCAUAGGAAUCCUGUUAUUUCACAGGAAAUAGUUUCUCAUCCUUGGAGGCGCUCAAGCCCCUGGGCUCAAGGUUGGAUAGGGCCCUGGGCAACUUUAUGCACUGGGAGGUAUCCUUGCCCAUGGCAGGGAGCUGGAACUGGAUGGUCUUUAUGGUUCCUUCCAGCCCAAGCCAUUCUAUGACAAUGGACACAAGAGAAUCCAUCCAGGGGCUGUUGGCUGUACAUCUAGGGAAGGUCAGGACACUUAGGAGAAUCAAUUGUCCUUCUAAGCACCAGUCCUAUGGCUUCCCAAGGAGCGAGGAGAUCAGUUAGUGACCCCAGUGGCUCACUCCCUAUAUAAUCUCAGACUGAUAACACUUUUUUAGAGGGUUUUCAAUAAGUGUCUACACCUCUUUGUCUUCUCUUCUCAGCUCCACACGCUCACGACAGGGACCUUGCUAUCUCCAGCCAAGGAAGGUGCUAAUGCACCACAAAUGUGCCAUUUCUCUGGCAUUUGGGUUAUCCGGGUCAGCAUCUCUGCAGGUCAGAUGCAUAUAGCAGCCAUGCUCCAGCGUGGACAUAAUAACCACGAUGUUGGGAGGCCCUGGCAGUGAUUGUAAGUUUGGUGACUUCAGCUGUUUGGACAAGGCACAUGCGUAGGUGUUGGAGGGCUCAUGAGUUGCUUCAUUAACAGACCCUGUCCCUGGCACAUCAGGCUUCACGCCGUGUGCUUUGCUUCCACACAGAGCAGUUCAUCCAUCUGGACAAGAGCAGGGUUGGCUACAAAGCCAAGCUGCAGGAGGGAGCAAGCAGUAAUCUUCAACCCAAACCAUCGCUGCUGUCGGAUGAAUCCCUAACCUGUGCUCCCAGCUGGCCAACAGGAGCUUGCAAGGCUAAUUUUAUGUCUCUAGCUUCAGGUUACAGCCUGGCACCUUAAAAUAAAUCAGCACUGAGUUUGGGUUAACUUAAAAAAAAAAAAACCUGGGCGGCAGGUUAGGGAUGGAGAAGAAAAUACACUGUGGAAGACUUAAGUGAACAGAGAAAGAGGCAGCCCCAGCAAUGUUGUCAACCCAAGCAUGACUCUGGCAUUGGGAAGCAGCAAGGAUAGGAGCCCUUGGGCAAAGGGGCGGCUGAGAAGAGGAUGGGAGCCAUGAGCAAAGCACUGUGCCUCUGCUCUGGGUACAAACUGUGCUCUGCAGAAGCCAAUCUGAACCAUAGUUUCUCUUGUUGCCACUGUUUCUUGUUACCAGUGUUCCUCUUCUUUCUUGCUUUCCCCCUGCCAAAGGAGCAGUCGUCCUGAAAACUAGGAAUUAUUGUGGGGAGAAUUAUUUAGGAAAUGAUCCUUUUUUUUUUUUUUUUUUUUUUUUUUUUUUUUUUUUUUUUUGCAAAAUGGGAAAUUAAAAGAAAAAAAGAUAAUCGGAUAUUUUCUCUGCUCAGGAACAGUGAGGGGAGAAAUGCCUGCAAGUAAGAAAUGCCUUCUCCUCGCUUUGUUGACUGCUGGAACAGAAGCAAAUGGAUGAAUCAGAAAUAAGGAAAAGCGAGUUGUGAGCAGUGAGUCCGAAGGCUGUCUGCUGCUCAUCUGCUUCCUCGGAGCAGGCAGUCUCCCAGGACAGCUUCAGGUAGCAUCUGACCAUGUCUCCCAGCUCAUCUGCGUGUGGGUUCGGGGUGUGCUGGAGCUCAGCUAAACCUGCCAGCCAUUUGGAGCUGGCUUCCCCGUGCACACGCCGAGGACAGCUCGGCUGGUUGGACAGAGCAUUGCAAAGCCGCUUUCUAGGAAAGAAGCUUUGCACAACAGAAGGGAAAAUAGGUCGUUGUCAAGGUUUAGGGCAUUUGCAGAAGAAAGUAAACAAGGGGGUGAGAUGGGAGGACGGCUCGGUUGUGAUCCCUGACAAACCUUUCCACAUGCACAAGGGAGGAAUCGGUGCCCCGUGACACCCACAGGUGCUCUUUGGGGCACAGCUUGCUCCUAUGCAUGGUGCACUUAGAGCAGAUGCACCCCCUGGCAACACUGCUGAUGGGAGCAGGAGGUUACGGGAUGGUGCUGAGCAGUUUGCUGGGGCAAGCAGAAGGCUCCAGGUCCACGGGUUUCACUGUGUGGGGGUUUCGGUGUCACAAUCUCUGGUUGUGCCCCAAGGGACCCUCUGGAGACUCCAACCAGGGCACCCCAGCAGCCUCUUCCCACUGGCUCCUCCUCACCGCAGUCCUACAGAAAUCCCCAAACCAAGACAACAAAUAACAACCACCAACCCACUGCAGAAGCACCACAAGUCCCUAAAAACACCCUCAGCCUUCCACCAGCAACACCCCCGGGAGAGCUCAGCCGCCUCCCUGUGUGCUCCCCAACCCCAUUACCACCCUACCGACCCCAGCGUGGAGUUGGGGCUGCGGGGGGGAGGUGAACAAGGUCGUGGGCUCAUGCACUGCCAAGGAACGCUCUGUGCUCACGGUCUGCAGGGCAGCGGGGGCUCCUCUCCCACCCCACACAUCUGCCAGCCGCCUGGCCCUGCCGCCAGCCGCCCCAGUACAUCUUGUUUGUGUUUUUCCGCGAGCACACUCCCAGCGGGUUAUGUCAGAGGUGAGGAAUGCAGGGCCACCCUGUGUCAUGAGAUCAGACUUACAUUUUUAGGCUGAAGGCUUUUUACCGUAUUUUCUGGGAAGCAGCGCGCCCGCGGGGCCCCGGAGGGGUGGGAGAGUUCCCUUCGCCUCCAUCCCUUCUUCCCAGCCCUCGGACGGGAGGAGCGGAUGGGGCCCGUCUGCUGGAACAAGCUCUCCCUCUGUUCCUUGC